rnacentral:lncRNA from 1 species
UCUAGUAGCCACAUUUUAAAAAGUAAAAUUAGGCCAGGUGCAGUGGCUCACGCCUGUAAUCCCAGCACUUUGGGAAGCUGAGGCAGGUGGAUCACCUGAGGUCAGGAGUUCAAGACCAGCCUGUCCAACAUGGUAAAACUCCAUCUCUACUAAAAAUAUAAAAAUUAGCUGGGCGUGGUGGCGGGCACCUGUAAUCUCAGCUACGCAGGAAGCUAAGGCAGGACAAUCGCUUGAAUCUGAGAGGCAGAG